AUAAUAGUAAAAACUUAGAGAUAAAAAGUUUAUAAUGGUAAAAGCUUAAGGACGAAGGUGUUUAUCAUUAAUGGCAAAAGUUGAAAAAAAAAAUAGAAAAAAGGAAAAAAUAGAAAAAGGGAUGAAAGUGUGUAAUGGAAUUAAAACUUAUAAACUAACUUUCUCAAAAUACAAGGAUCAAUUCAUUAAUUUCAUAAUAAUAUAGGAACUAAAUAGGAAAUUUUCCUUUUUAAUAAGCAGAAAGUCUUCUAUUUGUUUUCCAUACAGAUUACCAGAUGGAAUUUUAUUUUCUUUUGAGACUAAAAUCAAGAAAAAUCAGAUUUGG
rnacentral:misc_RNA from 1 species